rnacentral:rRNA from 1 species
GCGAACGCUGGCGGCAGGCCUAACACAUGCAAGUCGAACGAACUCUUCGGAGUUAGUGGCGGACGGGUGAGUAACACGUGGGAACGUGCCCUUUGGUACGGAAUAACUCAGGGAAACUUGAGCUAAUACCGUAUGUGCCCUUCGGGGGAAAGAUUUAUCGCCAUUGGAGCGGCCCGCGUCUGAUUAGCUAGUUGGUGAGGUAAAGGCUCACCAAGGCUACGAUCAGUAGCUGGUCUGAGAGGAUGAUCAGCCACAUUGGGACUGAGACACGGCCCAAACUCCUACGGGAGGCAGCAGUGGGGAAUCUUGCGCAAUGGGCGAAAGCCUGACGCAGCCAUGCCGCGUGAAUGAUGAAGGUCUUAGGAUUGUAAAAUUCUUUCACCGGGGACGAUAAUGACGGUACCCGGAGAAGAAGCCCCGGCUAACUUCGUG